GACGAACGCUGGCGGCGUGCUAAUACAUGCAAGUGGGACGCAAGGAAACACACUGUGCUUGCACACCGUGUUUUCUUGAGUCGCGAACGGGUGAGUAACGCGUAGGUAACCUGCCUAUUAGCGGGGGAUAACUAUUGGAAACGAUAGCUAAUACCGCAUAAUAUUAAUUAUUGCAUGAUAAUUGAUUGAAAGAUGCAAGCGCAUCACUAGUAGAUGGACCUGCGUUGUAUUAGCUAGUUGGUAAGGUAAGAGCUUACCAAGGCGACGAUACAUAGCCGACCUGAGAGGGUGAUCGGCCACACUGGGACUGAGACACGGCCCAGACUCCUACGGGAGGCAGCAGUAGGGAAUCUUCGGCAAUGGACGAAAGUCUGACCGAGCAACGCCGCGUGAGUGAAGAAGGUUUUCGGAUCGUAAAGCUCUGUUGUAAGUCAAGAACGUGUGUGAGAGUGGAAAGUUCACACAGUGACGGAGCUACCAGA
rnacentral:rRNA from 1 species